AUUGAACGCUGGCGGCAUGCCUUACACAUGCAAGUCGAACGGCAGCACGGGGGCAACCCUGGUGGCGAGUGGCGAACGGGUGAGUAAUGCAUCGGAACGUACCCGGAAGUGGGGGAUAACGUAGCGAAAGUUACGCUAAUACCGCAUAUUCUGUGAACAGGAAAGUGGGGGACCGCAAGGCCUCACGCUUUCGGAGCGGCCGAUGUCGGAUUAGCUAGUUGGCGGGGUAAAGGCCCACCAAGGCGACGAUCCGUAGAGGGUCUGAGAGGAUGAUCCGCCACACUGGGACUGAGACACGGCCCAGACUCCUACGGGAGGCAGCAGUGGGGAAUUUUGGACAAUGGGCGCAAGCCUGAUCCAGCCAUGCCGCGUGAGUGAAGAAGGCCUUCGGGUUGUAAAGCUCUUUCGGCGGGGAAGAAAUUGCUCAGGUUAAUACCUUGAGUAGAUGACGGUACCCGCAUAAGAAGCACCGGCUAACUACGUGCCAGCCGCCGCGGUAAGAC
rnacentral:rRNA from 1 species